GUGUGUCUGUGUGAACGGAUGCCACAUAUUUCCGGUCCCUGUGAAGGCCAGAAGAGGUCAUCACAUCCCUUCGGUUAUGAGUCCCCCAAUGUGGAAGCUGAGAACUGAACCACGUCCCCUGGAAGAGCAGGAAGCAUUCAACCAUUGAGCCGAUUUCCCCUGCCCCUUAAAAAUCUUAAGUUUAAAAAAAAAAUCCUCUUUGAAACCCAGAACUCCUUAUUCAGCAUGAGUUGAUACACAUGGGCUCAGGAUUUUACAAAUAAAAUAAAUAGAAAUGGGAACACUGAACUCCUGUUAGCAAACAGCUUAAGAGAUGACUGGUCCAUGGCCGACCGGGGAAUGGACAGACAGACACCUCCUGUACCUGUGGAGACAUGGCUUGACCUGAACAGUGGUGCUCUGUACUAGCAAACCCACCCCCACGGAAAGACCCAGAUGCCCUCAACAGGUCUCUAGCAGCCUCACACUGUGUGCGCGCAGGUCUGCAGACAAUAAACCCACGAGCGCCGUUUCCAAGGGGGAAGCAGCUCUGGGCUUUGUGUUUUUGGUUUAUUGACUUGUUUGGUUUUGCCUGAAAAGUCACAGAGGAAGCCAAAAAGAGCUGGUGGUUAUCUUCGGGCUGUGUGAUUUUUAGGUAAUAAUUUUUAUCAUUUGUAUCGGGUCAAAAAAAAAAAAAAAACACCUCGGGACAAAUGACUAACUAUGGUGCCUAUUAGCAUACCAACGUGAAUAUUGCUCUCCAGGCUUCCUCAGUAUCACUCCUUCCUGUGGCUCUUCUCAGUCAGCCCCCUCCCCUCAACUUCUCCAGCCUCUCAUUCCUAUAUUAGGGAUAUAUUUGGGCCAUGAACUCCCGGCCCCUUCUCUCCCUCUUCUUCUCAUGAUCAUGUUCAGUCCACUACUUUCUCUCCCUGCUCUGGACGCUCCCCGAUGCCUCAGACUAUACUCCCUAUCAUUAAAAACCUUCCCCUCAGCCACACCCUGGAAUGGUCAGGUCCUCACUUUACAGUUAGCUUGUCCGGAAUUAGCUAAUUAAAAAAUAAUUUCCUAAUGACUAUAACGGAUGCCUUCCUCAUCCUUGCCCACCCCCUCAUGCUGCUCCCUGAGGGCUACUGACAUUGGCCUCUUAGGAGGCAGCAUCUCUCACUCAAGAGGAUACCUCAGGGCAAACUCGUACAGGUAAACAUGUGACCCCGUUUUCCAAAUAAAAGGCCCAAGACUCAAAGAAGGCCACACUGUUGAGAAACAGUGGUUCCAGGCUCCAGUCACAUUCCUGUCCUGUCUGUGACGGAGAGGCUAGUUCAUGAUUUACCUCCAAAUCCCUACGUUGGGAACAUCUGGGCCUGGAAUCCCAGCGUACCCGUUCCCCACUCCGCUCCCAGGAAGCCCUGCAGUUGGCCUUUGGGGUGUGUGAAGGGCUCCAUCAUGACCCUAGAAGGCCUCCUCUACUCCUACAGGAACCCAGGAGCUCACCCUUCCAUCCUGGCUGUGGUGUAGAGCGGCACUGCUGGGGGGGGGGGGGCACAUUCUCCUGCACCCCGUCUCAGAACCCUCUUGCUAUUGUGUUUCUUCUCUCUGUGGUUACACAUGUGGUAUCCCAGCAUCCUCAGCAAGAGACCUACCUGCCUGGCAUCCCCUCACAUUUAAUAACAUUAAACACCCAAGCUUGACGAUGUUUGCACCUCCUCUCUUCCCCCAAGCCCCCAAUAAGCUUCACUCGACUCGUGCACACAAAACUACAGCCUCUGAUUCUAGGAGCCCCAUCGAGAGAACUCAAAACCAAGCCUGCAAGGGAGGCGAGCUGGGGCCCUUCCCUGCCCAGUGCCACUCUUGUCUGAAGGAAGUACUGGGAAUUUCUGAAGUAGCGUGUGUGUGUGUGUGUGUGUGUGUGUGUGUGUGUGUGUGUGUGUGUGUGUGUGUGCUGUGUUGUGUGUGUGCGAGCGGUGUUUGUGUGCAUUCCCCUACUUGAUUAAAACACAAAACCCACAUUCUACAGUCAAUUAAAAGUGACUUUGGCAGCCGGGCAGUGGUGGCGCACGCCUUUAAUCCCAGCACUCAGGAGGCAGAGGCAGGCGGAUCUCUGUGAGUUCCGAGGCCAGCCUGGGCUACGGAGUGAGAUCCAGGACAGGCUCAAAAAAAAAAAAAGUGACUUUUGCAUUACUGACUUGGUGUGGACGUAGACACCAGCUUCUCCUAUCUCCUGUCUGGGAUAGCUGAAAGCCAUCCAUUCUCGGGGUGGGGGGGGGAUGGUAUGGAGGUGCAGUGGAGGACACGUGGGCAGGGUUCAAGGUGAAGUUCUUGUGUGGGUUUAGAUGACUGGAGGGGACUCGGGAGGACAAGCCACCUCUCGCUAUUUCCCCAUCUGCCGAGUGAGACACAAGCAAACUGGACCCUUGAUCCCACCUGCUCGGGGACUAUAAACUCGUGGCCUGUCCACAACAUGCCGCCUUUCCGGUGCCGCGUCAGAGAGAACCGGCUACGGGCAUGACGUUUACAAACUGUUUCACAGUCAACCUGGGUCGCCACUCUGGAGAGUGAAAACUAACUCAAGGGAGAGACCAACACCAAUGCUGACCAAGGGUAGACUAGCAUUAAAAGCCAGGUGAGCCCGGCAGCUGGGGUACACCUAUAAUCCCAGCCCUUGGCAGGUACAGAGAGGGCAGUCAGGAGUUCAAGGCCGGUGUCAAAUACAUAGGGAGUUGGAUGCCAGCCUGGGCAAUGAGAAACCCUGUCUAUAUAUAUUUAUAAACACCCCAGUUACCAGAAAUAAUGAGCAAGCCAGAACAUUGCCAGAACAUUCUAGGACGUGCCAGAAUGUACAGGUGCACCUAGUUCUUCACUGAACUUUGAAUCCACGCACUGAGAAGUCCAGAGCAAACGGAAGAGAAACACCAGGAUCUAACACUGAAAAUCGAUUCCCUGGCCAGGGCCACGGCUCAGGAGCAGAAGGUUUGCCAGUCACACACAAAGUCCUGGGUUUGAUCCCAGCAUGGCAGCACAAACCAUGAGAACAACUGACACCAGUCUGUCCUCCCUUCCGGAGAGGUGACAGAAUACAAUUCAGAAGUGAGCACGAAGAGGAAGCAGGAGGGAACUGAAGGAAAUCCCAUCCUGAAGGCAAACGUGGCUGGGAGACAAGGCUCCACGAAGCUGCUGAAAUAAAAUCUUGAGACUCAUGUCUGAUGCUAGGGCAACCCGAACCCAACCCACAGAACACCGUGGCCCACUGUGAGGGUCAGUGAAAGAAGUGUGCAUUAACAGGUGGCCUAAAACCCAAGUUUCAGUUACUGCUGACAACCGCCCACCUCUGCAAGCAUCGGACACUGACCUGCCUGCCUUCGGGACACUCUUCAGCAUGGCUACCACAUCCAGCUCCCACUGAGAGGGAAACUUUAGGCUGGAGUAAGAACUUAACAAGUGGGUUGCCUCUGGCACACAGCCAGGAACGGAGAGCAGUAAAGAAUGAGCGGGUGGUAUAAAGCACAUUCACCAGGUC